UUAAAGGAAAAGUAAUCAACUUAACAUAAAUCGCAAGAUGCAAUUUCACUGUGUCGGACGCCACCAUACGUUCUAGGUUGAAGUAGACAUUCCUGAUGAUCUUUGUAUAGCGUGAUUGAUACAGCUAUUGAUGUAUUCCGAAAUAUUUAAAAAGGCGUGAAUGAAGAAGCUAACCUACGAGGCAAGUGCACUGAUCUGUAACGUGUUUUUUUGUUUUUCUUAAUCGAAGUCUCGUAGAUUUGACUCGCAGUAUGACGCGAUGGUGAAUUUCACGAGCACGAACUGUGUUGGGAGGGAGGUGUCAAGCCCUGAGGCUGAAUUUCGGCCAAUUAAAGUCGUCGACCCCCUUUGCAAUACGUCAGUCCGCUAAGGGAGGGCUCUGAGCUUGAGCGAUGUGUGCGGUUUCUAUGGCAACCACUUGUCCUUACCUCCCCAUCCUCCUCAGGCAAGAUUGGUUUCCAUGGGACAACCUCAUCCAGUUGGGCACCAAUCACCCAUGAAUCUCCAGCAGCAGUGGGGGAGCAGGAAAUAGAACGGAAGGCGUUAACCCGAUAAGACCACUGUUGCAGACCAGGGACAUUCUGCAUCUCUUCUUUCUCCCCCUUUCUCUUUCUCUCUCUGUCACUCUGUAUCUCUCCAUUCUUCUAUCUCCUUACAGUGGCUACAGGCUCUUACAUAAGCCAGUUGGAUAUUUUCAGCCUCUCAGCAAAGAUGCAGUCAAGUUGAAGAGAACACAUUAAAUAUUUCAUUUUUUCUCCUCCCCAACCUGUCUAGUUGGGAUGUAUCAACAUUAUAAUACUACGUUGUUUUUAUCUGUAUCUCCAUGCCUUGUUUUAUGAUGGCAGGCAUAUUUUAUGCUUUUUCUGUUUAAAUGUGGGCCAAAGGAAGAAAACAGAUAGCGAAGGGAUGGCAACGGGAGGGAAGUGCUCUUCGAUUCUCUCUGCACAUUCUAUUCAGUAAACCGACCUACAUUUAAAGGCACCAAAGCCCUUUUAAAUGUUGUGUUAAAUAAUAACUUAGGAUUCUUAUUAAGACAGGUUAUUUUCAAUGUCUUCACUGCAUACUGUAUGAGGCUGAAGGUUGUGUGGUUGAAGAGCAACAUGUUAUGUUUACAUGCCACACUGCCUCUAUUGGUAUUUUACUCACUGCUGGAAGUCACAGAUGACUUUCAAAUGACUCGUUGUAAGAGGAUGUGAUGGCUUGGACUGAAUUCAUAUCUCUUACUCAAAGGUACAAUUACUGUAAACCCCAAUAAGUUAAGAUAACUCAAAAAUCGUGUUACUUCUUAAGAACACUAAACAAAUAAUAACAGUAAACUCAAAACAAUUAAUUUUGAAUAAACUUAAUUUUUCAUUUU